rnacentral:rRNA from 1 species
AUACCCAAAGCCGGUGGCAUAACCGUAAGGAGUGAGCCGUCUAAGGUAGGACUGNAUGNAUUGGGGUUAAGUCGUAACAAGGCAUCCCUACGNAGNAACGU